CCGCGAACGGGAGGAGCGUGCGGUUCAAUUGGAUUCAACACCGGACAACUCACCAGGAGCGGACGGUUACAUGAAGGCCAGGCUGAUGACCUUGCCUGAUUUCCGAGAGGUGGUGCAUGGCCGUCGUCAGUUCGUACCGUAAGGCGUUCUCUUAAGUGAGAUAACGAACGAGACCCUCACCGUUAAUUGCUAGUGUUCUCUCCGGAGGGCACGCACAUUAACGGGACCGCUGUCGCUAAGACAGAGGAAGGGGAGGUCAACGGUAGGUCCGUAUGCCCCGAAUCUCCUGGGCUACACGCGCGCUACAAAGGUUGGGACAAUGGGCUCCGACAUCGAAAGGUGAAGGCAAUCUCGAAACCCAAUCGUAGUUCGGAUUGAGGGUUGUAACUCACCCUCAUGAAGCUGGAUUCCGUAGUAAUCGCGGAUCAACAAUCCGCGGUGAAUAUGCCCCUGCUCCUU
rnacentral:rRNA from 1 species